rnacentral:rRNA from 1 species
UACGUAGGGGGCAAGCGUUAUCCGGAUUCACUGGGUGUAAAGGGAGCGUAGACGGCCAUGCAAGCCAGGGGUGAAAGCCCGGGGCCCAACCCCGGGACUGCCCUUGGAACUGCAUGGCUGGAGUGCGGGAGGGGCAGGCGGAAUUCCUGGUGUAGCGGUGAAAUGCGUAGAUAUCAGGAGGAACACCGGCGGCGAAGGCGGCCUGCUGGACCGCGACUGACGUUGAGGCUCGAAAGCGUGGGGAGCGAACAGG